rnacentral:rRNA from 1 species
GACGUAGGGCGCGAGCGUUGUCCGGAUUUAUUGGGCGUAAAGAGCUCGUAGGCGGUCUGUCGCGUCGGAUGUGAAAAUCCAGGGCUCAACCCUGGACCUGCAUUCGAUACGGGCAGACUAGAGUUCGGUAGGGGAGACUGGAAUUCCUGGUGUAGCGGUGAAAUGCGCAGGAUAUCAGGAGGAACACCGGUGGCGAAGGCGGGUCUCUGGGCCGAAACUGACGCUGGAGGAGCGAAAGCGUGGGGAGCAAACAGG